GAACGGCACCAAGAAGACUGUGACACAAUAAAAGCAUUCAAGGUUAAUGAUGUGGUGCCAAGACAAGUGCUCUGUCUCAUUUACAUUGUCAAUUUAAGAAAAUAAAAAGAAAUCAGUAUUAAGUGAAGCUGUGCCCAGAAUCAGAGCCUGACAUGAAUCCUGCUUCAGACUUUCCAGGACACCCUAUGACUUCCAGAGGAGAAUGCAAGGCAACUCCAGACCAUGGGGACCUGCCAGAAUUUCUUGUCCCCAGUCUGGCAUCUACUUCUUUGCUGGCAGGACAAGAGUGAAGACCACACCACCACAAAUGCAGUGCCUGCCCAGCCAAAAGCACACAGCAGAAAGUAGAACCAGUUCAAAAUAUUUCAGAGCAUCAGAGGAUUGCCUUGGAUCUCACUGGUAGAGAUUUUAUAGCAGGCUGUGCACUGCAUGUGCUACUGCUAAAGGGCACUUGGAGGUGCUUGGAGGUGCACAGGCUGCUAGAAGAGCAGUGGAGGAUGCAGUCACAUCCACUAUG